CCUGCAGAAUCUUUUUGCAUUCCUAUAUUUGAAGAUACUUUUCCCCCCUUCAGUUUCAUUCAGAUAUGGGAAGCGAUCCAACUGCCUGAAAUGCUGUGGAGGCUUAUAUACCAAUUUGGAUUGUUUGUUCUCAAAGACCUUUGCAUAAUUGAAUAACAGAGUUGGAAGGGACCUUGGAAGUCUUGUAAAUCCCCUGCUCAAGGAGGAAGUCCUAAACCAUUUCAGGUAAAUGGUGGUCCAAUCUUUUCUUAAAAAUCUGGCAUGUGGGAGCAUCCACAAUUUCUGGAGGUGUUUACAGAUUCAUUGCUUAUCUUUUCUGGAAUCUUCCCAGGUGUUGAUGUCAGGCUGAUAGGUCUGUAGUUUUAUGGGAACUAUAUCAGCCCUUUUCCAGUCAUCUGGUAGUUCCCCAGUGCUCCAGGAUUUUCAAAAUAUGUGAUUCAGUAG